ACGCUGGCGGCAUGCCUAACACAUGCAAGUCGAACGAGACCUUCGGGUCUAGUGGCGCACGGGUGCGUAACGCGUGGGAAUCUACCCUUGGGUUCGGAAUAACUCAGAGAAAUUUGAGCUAAUACCGGAUGAUGUCGCAAGACCAAAGAUUUAUCGCCCAAGGAUGAGCCCGCGUAGGAUUAGCUUGUUGGUGAGGUAAAAAGCUCACCAAGGCGACGAUCCUUAGCUGGUCUGAGAGGAUGAUCAGCCACACUGGGACUGAGACACGGCCCAGACUCCUACGGGAGGCAGCAGUGGGGAAUAUUGGACAAUGGGCGAAAGCCUGAUCCAGCAAUGCCGCGUGAGUGAUGAAGGCCUUAGGGUUGUAAAGCUCUUUUACCCGGGAUGAUAAUGACAGUACCGGGAGAAUAAGCCCCGGCUAACUCCGUG
rnacentral:rRNA from 1 species